UACGUAGGGGGCAAGCGUUAUUCGGAUUUACUGGGUGUAAAGGGAGCGUAGACGGUGUGGCAAGUCUGAUGUGAAAGGCAUGGGCUCAACCUGUGGACUGCAUUGGAAACUGUCAUACUUGAGUGCCGGAGGGGUAAGCGGAAUUCCUAGUGUAGCGGUGAAAUGCGUAGAUAUUAGGAGGAACACCAGUGGCGAAGGCGGCUUACUGGACGGUAACUGACGUUGAGGCUCGAAAGCGUGGGGAGCAAACAGG
rnacentral:rRNA from 1 species